CCAAAUGCGUUGAAGGACAUCAGUAGGAUAAGGAGACAAGCUUUCAGAGAGCCGGUGGACGGUGGAAACCGGUACUUAACCUUAUACCGAAUUACAGUCCGGAGCAGCGGAAGGGAACGCCCGAUGGCCGUAUCAUACGGUAUCAGGCCGGUAGCUUCCGAUCGGGCAACCCCCGUUAUCCUGCUGAAGUGAAAGCCAAGACUGGCGUUUAUCUGUUUAGCAGCGGAAUUCGCACUACAGGUUUCGUCUGUCUCGCUUUAAUUAGGGUGGUACCGCGAGCUAAACCUUCUCGUCCCUUGA
rnacentral:ncRNA from 1 species